rnacentral:rRNA from 1 species
UAAGCAUAUAAGUAAGCGGAGGAAAAGAAACUAAAUAGGAUUCCCUUAGUAAUGGCGAAUGAACAGGGAUCAGCUCAGCAUGGAAAUUGGGGCCCUCGGCCCUGAAUUGUAGUCUCGAGAUGUAUCGCCAACGGAGGCGCAGAUGUAAGCCUCUUGGAAAGGAGCAUCAACGAGGGUGAGAGUCCCGUUUGUCAUCUGCAGUCCCCCGUGCACGGCAUACCUUCUAAGAGUCGCGUUCCUCGGAAUUGGAGCGUAAAGUGGGUGGUAAAUUUCAUCUCAAGCUAAAUAUUGGUUCGAGACCGAUAGCAAACAAGUACCAUGAGGGAAAGGUGAAAAGGACUUUGAAAAGAGAGUUAAAAGUGCCUGAAAUUGCUGAAAGGGAAGCGAAUGGAACCAGUGUUGCUUGGCGAGAUUGAUGGGCACAUUGUGCUCGUUGGUUCUUGCCUUGUGUGUCAACGCCAGUUCGCGAUCGAGGAAAACUCCAGGGUCAUGGAAGCUCGUCUCCGGGUGAGUGAACGUCCUUGGCAGAACUCAUUUGCGAACUGAUUCUUUCGUGUCUGGUUGCAGUGUUCUUCGUGUCUCGGGGACGGUCUGAGGUGGGGUUCGCCUCCGCUUCUGGGCUGACCUUGGGACCGGGGCACUUCCCUGACACAGAGACGAUGACUAAAUGGUUCUAUCCGACCCGUCUUGA